CCCCUGUUGAAAGCAACCCCUUCUGCAUCCUAUUAAAACCUGUCAGCACCGUGCAGCCCUCCCUGCCAGGGCACUGGGAUGAGGGCAAAGUGAAGCUGGGACCGUGGAGAGCACUGGGGAGUAAAGGCACAGCACUCAGUACUGAUGCAAUGAAAUCUCCAGGAAGGCACAACCACCAUGUGAAAAGCAGAACAAGCCAAGACCUUGGCUUAGAAAGCUUUCUGCAGGAAUUCUCCCAUUGUAACGAGCCUUUGACCUAACCUCCAUUUCUUCUAAUACUGCCUGACAUCUUCCCAUCAUAUGUUAACAGUGUGUGUCUUCAGUGAAAGGCAAACUGACUCUGAUGCUCUGGGCCUAAAGAAAAGCAACGUGGAGGAAGAAAGAAAGAGAAAUCUCGACCUCACUGGUCCUUCCUAGCAAUCUGUUGCUCCAGCAACUGAAAAAUCAAACAAUGAUGUCAAGAAGAUGCAGCCAGCCACACUAAACCCGAUGUCCAGUUGCUGGAGCAACUCGUUGUUAAAGCAAUUAGCCCAUGCUCAUUACUGGACGUAUGGGGAUACAUCCAAGCGCUCACCGAGACGGGAGGCACAGCACACAACGUGGCACAAACGGGUUCUCCCAGGUCUUGGGCUCCAUUGUAAAACGUAGCAUCAAACCUUCACUACAUCGGGCCAUCAGCAGAUGCCAGGCAGAACACACCUCCUCCCUGGGAAGGGGGGAACCUUGCAAAAUCUGGCAAGAAAAGCAUCCAAGCAGCGAGCAAAGAGCCAACGGUGGCAAACAGGCUGUGAAAGCACUACC
rnacentral:lncRNA from 1 species